GUGUGUGAGCCGGCUGCCGAGAAAAGCCGCUAUUGUUUGUACUGUACCCGUACCGUAAACCGACACAGGUGGAUGAGGAGAGAAUCCUAAGGCCGACGGAAGAAGCAUUGCUAAGGAACUCGGCAAAAUGACCCUGUAACUUCGGGGGAAAGGGUGCCUCGAAAGAGGCCGCAGAGAAUAGGCCCAAGCAACUGUUUAGCAAAAACACAGGUCUAUGCAAAACCGCAAGGUGAAGUAUAUGGGCUGACGCCUGCCCGGUGCUGGAAGGUUAAGGGGAGAUGUCAGGAGACGAAGCAUCGAACUUAAGCCCCAGUAAACGGCGGCCGUAACUAUAACGGUCCUAAGGUAGCGAAGUUCCUUGUCGGGUAAGUUCCGACCCGCACGAAAGGCGUAAUGAUUUGGGCGCUGUCUCGGCAAUGCAUCCGCUGAAAUUGAAGUGCCAGUGAAGAUGCUGGCUACCCGCGCCAGGACGGAAAGACCCCAUGGAGCUUUACUCCAGCUUGAUACUGGGAUUCGGUAUUGUAUGUACAGGAUAGGUGGGAGGCUGAGAAAUGGUGACGCCAGUCGCCAUGGAGCCGCUGUUGGGAUACCACCCUUGCAGUACUGGAUUUCUAACCAGCAGCCGUGAUCCGGCUGGGGGACAAUGUCAGGUGGGGAGUUUGACUGGGGCGGUCGCCUCCGAAAGGGUAUCGGAGGCGCUCAAAGGUUCCCUCAGAAUGGUCGGAAACCAUUCGAAGAGUGCAAAGGCAGAAGGGAGCUUGACUGCGACACCGACGGGUGGGGCAGGUACGAAAGUAGGACUUAGUGAUCCGGUGGUAUUAAGUGGGAAUGCCAUCGCUCAACGGAUAAAAGCUACCCUGGGAUAACAGGCUUAUCACUCCCAAGAGUUCACAUCGACGGAGUGGUUUGGCACCUCGAUGUCGGCUCAUCGCAUCCUGGGGCUGUAGUAGGUCCCAAGGGUUGGGCUGUUCGCCCAUUAAAGCGGUACGCGAGCUGGGUUCAGAACGUCGUGAGACAGUUCGGUCCCUAUCCGGCGUGGGCGUAGGAUAUUUGAGAGGAGCUGACCUUAGUACGAGAGGACCGGGUUGGACUGACCUCUGGUGCACCGGUUGUCAUGCCAAUGGCACAGCCGGGUAGCCAAGUCGGGAAGGGAUAAACGCUGAAGGCAUCUAAGCGUGAAGCCCCCCUCAAGAUGAGAUAUCCCCCGCAUAAGCGGUAAGACCCCUUGAAGACGACGAGGUAGAUAGGGCAGAGGUGGAAGUGCAGUAAUGUAUGGAGCUGACUGCUACUAAUAGGUCGAAGGCUUAAC
rnacentral:rRNA from 1 species